rnacentral:lncRNA from 1 species
GAUACACGAGGUAAGCAUAUCGCAAUCAAGCAUCACGGUGUACAUCGAUUACACGAGGUUUGAGUGUUUGUUUACAUUUGUGUUACAAAAUGGCGCCCUCGGCCAUACAGGGAAUUAUGGGUAGACGUGCUUGUCCCGGAAUAACACGAGUUGGUCAGGAAUGACGAGCGGUCAUUUCUGCAGCAGUUACGGAAAGAGACGAGGUUUGCCGAUUACAGUUUAUACAGGCCAUAUUGGGAGCCGCGGGGAUUUCGACAGUGUGUAUCAGGAAGUAUAUCUAUGUGGUGUAUGGAAUAUGCGUUUGCCUACCAUGCCAGGCAGUGUGACAAGGGAUAUCCCAGCGGAUGUAAUAUUCCUACAGCAGAAAUGUUUCACAACCUCGAUUGCAGGGAGCUGAAGACGUGACAUAUUCAGACAGAGACCAUAAUACAUAGACUGUUAUAUGGUCUCUGAUUCAGGUGUGAAGAAUCAAGAACAAAUUAAAUGACAGGAGUUUUGCAACAGUGAACAUUGUGAAGUGGAAGAUAAGACAUUUGAAAGGUACCUGGAUUUCACAAUCUGACACCAGCUACAUUUAAGAAGAUCUUGAUCACACAAUUCAGACAAGGGACUCGCCGGGUGAUGAAUAAUCCUCCCGAUAUCAACCAACAGAUUCACCUCAAAAAGUGAUGAUUCUUAAUGAAUAAUGCCACAUCAGUGCGACUGUAGGUGGUUAAAUUAUGACACUUAUCAAGUCUGAAUGAAUUUAUGCCUAAGCACUGUGACUAUGUCCAGGUUGUGUACACCGACGCUGACUAUACUUUUGUGGUUUACUGCAGCAACAUAAUUGACUUUAGAUAUUUUUCUUUCAUGAAAUUCUUUGAGAUUUGACUAAUUUGUUUAUUUAGAAAAUGGCAUUGAAGCGUCUGUUCUGUAAGGCCUUGCAAACACCACUGGUUACUUUAUGCUAGUUCCUCUUCUUGCUUGAUCACAUUUCAAUUUGUGAUAUUUACCAAUGAAAUGCCAUAUAAUCAAUAAACAAGAUUUCUUUUCUCCAAAAACAUUAUUUGUUUUGCCUCAUUAGCAUAAAGAAAUAUAAUACUGAUCAGCCAUAACAUAAGUGCUGAACAAAUAUAAAAUAUAUUAUGCCCUGAAUGUUUUUCACUAUAAAUACAGCUCACUUAACAAAAGUUGUAGGUCCACAUUUGUAGACAAAUGACAUUGAUAUUUUUUUUGGUACUUUAUUUAGGUGUUUUCUAUGAAUGUCAUUAGUCUUAUGCGCCAAUUUGGGACAACUGUAUUCUGUUUCAUGUUCCCAUGAAACUACACUGUCCAGAUAUAACAAGUACUAUUACCGUUCCAAACUAUUCUUUUAAUCUCACCAGGGCCAAAUGACAAAGCACAUAGCCAAUGACUUUCCAUUCUUUCUGAGUGAGAAUGCUGUUUUGCCACUUUUAGCAAUAUUGCAACAAUAUCAUGGUGGGGGACACAAGCAAUAAGCUUCACACAUUUGACUCAUGUCGCGAAACGAAAUUGUGAACAAUGUAUUCCCCCAGAUCUCAGUUUUAAGAGGAUAUUUACAAUUAAAAUAACACAGAAUAUAACAACAGCUAUCUGAUAUGCACUGGCUAAAAUUAAU